GAUGAACGCUAGCUACAGGCUUAACACAUGCAAGUCGAGGGGAAACGACAUCGAAAGCUUGCUUUUGAUGGGCGUCGACCGGCGCACGGGUGAGUAACGCGUAUCCAACCUGCCCACCACUUGGGGAUAACCUUGCGAAAGUAAGACUAAUACCCAAUGACGUCUCUAGAAGACAUCUGAAAGGGAUUAAAGAUUUAUCGGUGAUGGAUGGGGAUGCGUCUGAUUAGCUUGUUGGCGGGGUAACGGCCCACCAAGGCGACGAUCAGUAGGGGUUCUGAGAGGAAGGUCCCCCACAUUGGAACUGAGACACGGUCCAAACUCCUGCGGGAGGCAGCAGUGAGGAAUAUUGGUCAAAUGGGCGAGAGCUUGAACCAGCCAAGUAGCGUGCAGGAUGACGGCCCUAUGGGUUGUAAACUGCUUUAUAAGGAAUAAAGUGAGUCUCGUGAGACUUUUUGCAUGUACCUUAUGAAUAAGGACCGG
rnacentral:rRNA from 1 species